AUCAGAUUCAUGCGUUCACAAUAUUCAGGUGUCGCAACUCACGUGCUCAAUUCAAAGUUUCAAAAUCAGCUUCCCUCCUCACCUGAGAAACCUUCCUCCGCCGCACAUUCUCCCCCGGCGGCGGCAGGGACUGCAAUCACCAAAACCAGAUAUCGUUAUCCUCGUCUCAAUGUCUCUAACCCAAAUCCAUAAUUAAUUUCUCACAAAUCGCAACCAAACAUGCAAACCCAAAUGAUACACGUAUGAACCCUAAAAUAACCUCCACCAAUUCAAUGGUGCAAGGGCAUCAAGAGGAACCCAAACCUUAGGGGUUUGGACCCUCUAGCACCAAACUACAUCUUAGCAGUGAAGUCAUGCAAUGAAAACGAAAAAAUUCAAGUGAGCACUCACCUAGGCAAUGGCAUGUUCAACGAAACCGAAAUGAAUGGAAUGAAAAUACCAGAGGCACAUAAGGGCUGGUUUACUCACUUGAAGUAUGGAUCAUGCUAUCAAGAUUUGGAAUGAAUGUGCCAUGAAUGAAACAUGAAGAAAACAUGGUUACUUGCAAGUGAAGCAACCUUGGUCAUGAUGCUAAAAGGGAAGAUGGAGAACAUGAAGAAACAAAGUGAACAUUAGCAUUCGAUUUAGGGAUUAGAUGAGUUGACUUUGGUCAACUAGUUGACCAAAAAAUCAAUAGUUGACAAAAGUCAAUUAUAGGUCAAAAAUCUAUUUUUUUGUAAUUUUGUAUGGACAUUGUAAUGUGAUAUUAUAUAAAUUAAAUGCAAGUUUUUUAGAUGAGAAA